UAGAGUAUGGGAGAGGAUGGUAGAAUUCCAGGUGUAGCGGUGAAAUGCGUAGAGAUCUGGAGGAAUACCGAUGGCGAAGGCAGCCAUCUGGCUAAUACUGACGCUGAGGUACGAAAGCAUGGGGAGCAAACAGGAUUAGAUACCCUGGUAGUCCAUGCCGUAAACGAUGUCUACUAGCCGUUGGGGCCUUUGAGGCUUUAGUGGCGCAGCUAACGCGAUAAGUAGGCCGCCUGGGGAGUACGGUCGCAAGACUAAAACUCAAAUGAAUUGACGGGGGCCCGCACAAGCGGUGGAGCAUGUGGUUUAAUUCGAUGCAACGCGAAGAACCUUACCUGGCCUUGACAUACUAGAAACUUUCCAGAGAUGGAUUGGUGCCUUCGGGAAUCUAGAUACAGGUGCUGCAUGGCUGUCGUCAGCUCGUGUCGUGAGGUGUUGGGUUAAGUCCCGCAACGAGCGCAACCCUUUUCCUUACUUGCCAGCAUUUCGGAUGGGAACUUUAAGGAUACUGCCAGUGACAAACUGGAGGAAGGCGGGGACGACGUCAAGUCAUCAUGGCCCUUACGGCCAGGGCUACACACGUGCUACAAUGGUCGGUACAAAGGGUUGCUACACAGCGAUGUGAUGCUAAUCUCAAAAAGCCGAUCGUAGUCCGGAUUGGAGUCUGCAACUCGACUCCAUGAAGUCGGAAUCGCUAGUAACCGCGGAUCAGAAUGCCGCGGUGAAUACGUUCCCGGGCCUUGUACACACCGCCCGUCACACCAUGGGAGUUUGUUGCACCAGAAGUAGCUAGCCUAACUGCAAAGAGGGCGGUUACCACGGUGUGGCCGAUGACUGGGGUG
rnacentral:rRNA from 1 species